rnacentral:lncRNA from 1 species
CAGCAUUUUCAAUUCAUAAGUGAUAAAAGAUUUAAAACAUUCAAGGAGGGGUUAAUGCAUCCGUGGCUUGCCUUGGUUGCAGGGCAGAGAGGGUCCCUCGGAGACUUCCCAAGUCUCGGGUCCUACUUCCUCGAACGGAGCACCGACCUCGGGGUUCGGUUCGACGGGCGCUCCUUCGGUCACGUGCACUAUACGCAAAAUGAUGAAUGCUCAUGAUAUGCGUAUGACAAAUAUGCAAAAAGGACCAAGUUGCGUAUAACUGGCCACCUCGGUGCAACACAGAAUAAACAAUAAUUAAAAUUGUUUAACAACUCAAUGUCUUUACCCAAGAGGUUGCAUCUUGUAAACUAAGAUUCCUCUUUUUCAUAAUUAUCCUAAAUUAAUUAUUUAUUAAUCCUAUUUACCAUAAUUAAUUCUUAAUUAAUUAUUAAAGACAGUAAUUAAGCUUUAGUGCCAAACAAUAAUCAAAUGCCAAAGGUCAUUAGGGUUAAUGGCCCUAGGUCAUCACACAAUUCCAAAAUCACUCAAACCCUAAUUAGGAGGAUUUAACUAAAUAUCAUCUAAUUAUUUUAGAAUUAUUAUUUAAUUACUAAAUAGGGGUUUAUUAACAUUUUAUUCAACCAUUAUCCAAAUGCCACCAAAUUUUGUUUGGAGCCAGGGAAUGAUAUUCAGAGACUCCUUACAAAUUUUGGUGAUUUUUGGAUAUAUAAAUAAAUUAUUAAAAUUCAUAGAAUUUUUAUUCAUUAACGAAAGAGGCAAUUUUUAUAUACUUGUAAACUACCAGAAAAAGAAACCUAC